CGUGUGCACCCAUUCCACUGCAGGCACCAGCACUAAGCACUGACUGGCUGGGCAUGGGCAGAGGUGAGACCUGGGUGAGCAGCACUGGAUCCAUGAGAGAAGGAGAUAACAAACAGGGGAAAAUCCCUGCUGAUUUAUGAGCCAUUGUCCACGGUGCCUGAGCCUGCUGCUUGGUUAUGGCAGCUCACGGCGCUCAGGUACCCCUAUGCCAAUGGAUGCUCUGCCCUGCUGCAGAGGCUGGGCAACAGAUGGCAAACAAAGUCAAGGAGGUGGUGAUGGAAAAGGACAAUAUUCAACUCACCUUACCUCUUCCAGGUAUGCCAUAAAGUGGCAGUGACAAAGCAAUGCUGCAGAAGGAGCAGACUUCUUGAAGGAGGAUUUGAAAGAACAUUUGCAGGAGGCCAGAUCCAUACCUGGCAGAAGCUCUGCAACUGCUCGGCACAUGCUGAGGCUGCUGUGGUGCUCGCUGGCCAUCCUCAGGUCCACACCUGCUGCCUUGCUGCUGCAGGAGCAACAGAGAACUGUCCUGCAGGAAGAUUGCUGUUGUUGCAGCUAAUUUUGCAUACAGCCAGCAGCACAAAAGGAAAACUCCCUUUUUAUUUUCAGUGAGGAUUUUCAAGUUUCAAUGAGAGAUGAGCACCGGUGUGUAGCAAUGUCUCCAAUCCAGCCUAACAGGAGGAGUGCCUAAAGUUCACUCCCUCAUUACUUUGUGAGCACCCGGGAGAAAAUUGCCUCUCCCUGCUGGCAGCAGCUGCUGAAUUGGAGGGGAGGGGGAUUAAUAAAAAGAAGUACAUGAGAAAUUAGGAGAGGAUGGACAAAGCUGGGUAGCAUUCAGUGGAAAUGAUUCAGAAUUGAUCCACAUCCCCCAGUUUGGGAAGAACAGAAGCUGGUAAUCAGUUAAUGCACCUUCCCUCUCCACCCCCACCUUCCUGCUGUGGCGGUGGCAGGAGAGCGAUGGCACGAUGGGAGCAGGGUGGCUGGUGGCAGCAUGUUGUGCUGCUCACUGCCUGCCAGGAGGGACAUCUGCUGUGCCCUGAGCAGGGCAGGGAGCUCCUGCUCCCCUCCUUUGCAUUUGGGUUUCCCUUAGGUGAGAUCUGCCUUCCCCUCGCUCCUCCAGGGCCAAAAAUGCUGCUGGAGGCACAGAGCGAGGCACAUCUGGAGUUCUGCAGGGGAUGGUGGUGUCAUGCCACGUGGCUCUGGCCUUUUCAAUAUUCAAUAUUUUCAUGGACUGGCCA